CUGAAUAACUGAGCAAAUUGCUUCGGUCUUGCACCGGCAAUGUAUCCUUCAAGUGUCUGCCUUAUCAACUUUCGAUGGUACUUUAUGCGACUACCAUGGUUGUAACGGGUAACGGAGAAUUAGGGUUCGACUCCGGAGAGGGAGCCUGAGAAACGGCUACCACUUCUAAGGAAGGCAGCAGGCGCGCAAAUUAUCCACUCUCGGCACGAGGAGAUAGUGACGAAAAAUAACGAGACGGGGCUCUUUCGAGCACCGUCAUCGGAAUGAGAACAACCUAAAUCCUUUAACGAGGACCUAGCGGAGGGCAAGUCUGGUGCCAGCAGCCGCGGUAAUUCCAGCUCCGCCAGUGUAUAUCUAUGCUGCUGCGGUUAAAAAG
rnacentral:rRNA from 1 species